rnacentral:rRNA from 1 species
AUUGAACGCUGGCGGCAUGCCUUACACAUGCAAGUCGAACGGCAGCAUGGAGAGCUUGCUCUCUGAUGGCGAGUGGCGAACGGGUGAGUAAAGCAUCGGAACGUGCCGUGUAGUGGGGGAUAACGUAGCGAAAGUUACGCUAAUACCGCAUACGCACUGAGGUGGAAAGCAGGGGAUCGUAAGACCUUGCGCUAUACGAGCGGCCGAUGUCAGAUUAGCUAGUUGGUAGGGUAAAGGCCUACCAAGGCGACGAUCUGUAGCGGGUCUGAGAGGAUGAUCCGCCACGCUGGGACUGAGACACGGCCCAGACUCCUACGGGAGGCAGCAGUGGGGAAUUUUGGACAAUGGGGGCAACCCUGAUCCAGCCAUGCCGCGUGAGUGAAGAAGGCCUUCGGGUUGUAAAGCUCUUUCGGCCGGGAAGAAAUCGCACAGGCUAAUACCCUGUGUGGAUGACGGUACCGGCAUAAGAAGCACCGGCUAACUACGUGCCAGCAGCCGCGGUAA